GAAAUCAGCUUGCCUGGAGAUAGGGUUUAAUGCUCGGUAAAGCACCACACUUCUUGUGGUGUCCGGUGCGCUCUCGACGGCCCUUGAAAAUUCGGGGAAGACAUUGAUUUUCGUGUCCGGUCGUACUCAUAACCGCAGCAGGUCUCCAAGGUGAGCAGCCUCUGGUUGAUAGAACAAUGUAGGUAAGGGAAGUCGGCAAAAUAGAUCCGUAACUUCGGGAAAAGGAUUGGCUCUAAGGGUUGGGUCUGUCGGGCUGAGACUUGAAGCCAACUUAUUUUUACACAGGAAGUCCAGGCGACGCCGGCAAAGAAAGGGAGGCGUCACGAAGACGGUGCUGCUGAAGCACCAAGCCCGUCACUACGGGAACGCAAACCCGAGGGCAAACCACGUGUCAUGUUCACUGGUCUGGUCGACAAGCAGGGAGAGAAGGUGAACUGAAACCACGUACGAUCACGUGCAUGUAUGAUCACGUGCGGCGUGUAGUGAAAUGAAGCCGCGUGCACCACCAUGUGUUUGUAUAGUGAAACCGCGCUUUGAUUAUGUGCGCACUAUUUAUGAUGACGUGUAUCUGUGUGGUGAAACUGCCUGUGGUCAGGUGCUUUUUUGUAUUGAAACCACGUGUGAUCACGUGCAUCUGUUUGGUGAAACUGUGGUCGCGUGCGUUUGUAUGAUGGUGACGUCUGUUUGUUGAAACUGUGGUCACUUGACUUUGAAUGGUCAAACUACGAGUGAUGACGGGCGCGUUUGAUUUGUUCUGCAGGUCGUCACAAGUCUGGGUGGUUCCCUUGUGAAUUCCGUUUACGAAUGCACUCAUCUGGUUACUGAAAAGGUGAUAAUUUAGUGAUAGGUUUUCGUAGAACAAAUAUGCUUCCUUACUCACACUAUGAGAAAUAUUGAAAAUAUAUCUUUUACCAUCGUCCCUUGAAUUAAAAGUCCUCUCGCAUCCCUCAAAUAAGCGCCAGACGUGUUACACUUGAUAGAUUUCGAUGACGAGGGGGAAUUUACGGAAGAAAUGGAGUAACGAAAACUGACUCAUCAUUGAAAGCUUGUUUUGUUUUUGUUCUGGAAACCUUUUACUCCUGGACCCUUCAAAAGAUCACUUUUUAUCAAGAGACAAAGCGGAUUUUGAAAUAAGCGCCU
rnacentral:ncRNA from 1 species